UACGGAGGGGGCAAGCGUUGUUCGGAUUUACUGGGCGUAAAGGGUGUGUAGGCGGCUGGAUAAGUCUGGCGUGAAAUCUUCACCGCUUAACGGGAAGGGGUCGCUGGAAACUGUUCAGCUUGAGUAUGGUAGAGGCAAGCGGAAUUCCUGGUGUAGCGGUGGAAUGUGUAGAUAUCGAGAGGAACACCUGCGGCGAAGGCGGGUUGCUGGGCCGACACUGACGCUGAUGCGCGAAAGCCAGGGGAGCGAACGGG
rnacentral:rRNA from 1 species